GGAACACAUACAUGGGAGGAGGAACAAUGAACUGAAGAGCUUUGAGCUACUUAAAAAUAAGGUUCACUGCUGCCUCCCCCACCAUUCAUUGCUAGACCUUAUGCUUCAGGAGAUAUGAAAAACAUCUAUCUGGAAUGAAGAGAUGGCAACAAGGUCACCAAAUGGAUGCAGCCAGAUGCAAAGGGCAGAAGCCCUACCACCGAGCACAGAAGUUUCUGAUAUGGUGAGGCACUCAGUCAAUAUGCUAAGGCUGAUCUUUAAGCAGUAGUUGGUUGAGCUGUGUAAUACAUACAUCUGGAAACUGCCUGCAUAUCACAGCGAAUAUGAGCAGAGCAGGCUGCUCCUAUAUUUGUGUCCCAUGUGUUUGCUUUGAUUUGAUUUUGUGUUUGGGUGGGAAAGGGAAAGAGGAAAUACUCCGACAUUUUCACAUGCCUUUACUUUUUAUUGACUCUGAGAAACAAUUCAAACAUCUUGUCUGUUCAAAUGAGAGGCUGUCAAAUGUCCCCAUGUCUUGCCUACCCACAGUCUUGGGUAUUCUCACAGAAAGUACCACAUAAUUCCCUCUACUCAACACUGGUGAGGCCACACCUUAAACACUGUGUUCAGUUUUGGGCUCCUCAAUGAAAAAAAGACGUUGAGGCUCUGGAGCAUGUUUAGAGAAGGGCAACUCCUGGUAAGGGAGUGAAGUGGCCUUAUGAGGAGUGGCUGAAGGAGCUGGGAUUGUUUAGUCUGGAGAAGAGAAGGCUCAGGGGAGACCUUAUCACUCUCUACAACUACCUCAGGGGAGGUUGUGGUGAGAUGGGAGUUGGCCUCUUCUCCCACGUAACUAGCAAUAGAACAAGAGAUAAUGACCUCAAGUUGCACCGGAGGAAAUUUAGGUUGGAUGUUAGGAAAAAUUUCUUCUCUGAAAGAGUGUUUAGGUGCUGGAACUGCUGCCCAGGGAGGUGGUGGAGUCACUGUCCCUGGAAGAAGAAAUGUUUAGAUGUUGCAGUAAGAGACAUGGCUUAGUGAGGAAAUAUUGGUGGUAGGUGAAUGGUGGGACUGAAGAUCUUGGAGGUCUUUUCCAGCCUUGGUGAUUCUAUGAUUCUGUGAGUCUAUAAUGACAUUCCCAUCUCUGAAAAAAACUACCGCAGUUAUCAUAGAAUCACACAAUCAUAGAAUGGCUUGGGUUGAAAAGGACCUCAAAGAUAAUUUUGUUCUAGCCUCCUGCUGCUGGCUGGGCUGCCAACCCUCCCAGCAUCCUUGGAAGCUGGUUGAUACCAAAAGCAAAGGAAGAAAUUACAGAUCCAGGUCUUCUUUUUUGCCAUGUCUUUGAAAACUGGUAGAUGGCAAGAAGCCAUCUUCUCUGCACAAAAUACUCAGCUUCUCAUUCUGCCUACUGCUCCGUGCUGGUGAAACAAGCAAGAGUCAGACAACCUCCUGCUGUACCUCUCCAGUCUGGCCCUUGCAUUUCUGUCCUGAUUUGAAUCCAAAAUAGUUUAGGUCCUCCAAAAAAAACCUGUCACUUCUGCAAAAGAUUUUAUGUCCUGGAUAAAGAUAAAUGUCAGUAUCUUCUAAAACCACAGAUUUAAAAGCUCACAGAUCCUAAAGCUCUUAGAGUCUAUGGAAACAAAAGGAUUAAAAUCAAAACGCUGGUAGUGAUUAAUUCCACCCAGAUUAACAAAAUGACAGCUUCUGUUAAUUGUCCUUGGGACUGGGAGGAAAUGAAUCAGCGCUGCCCUGCUGGAAGUGGCUCAGGACAGUGGCUGCUCUGGGCCUCAGGUUCUGGAGGAUGAGGCUGGGGCUGAGGAGCUGCUGAUUUCUCUGCUGGCAGGUGAAAGGAGCGGCAGCAAUGACCAGUGAAAAGCUGGGGGAGGAAGGGUUUCGAAGCCCAUGGCAAGGGUUGGUGCUUGAGAGUCUCUGUGAUGUCAGCAGGGCCAUCCAGGAGCCUGGGGAGGUCAGCAAUAAACCAGAGCCCGAGUAGUUACUCCCCCUGCACCAGGGCAGCGAGGCAGGCAGAGGGCAGCCACUUCCAGGGAAACACCGGGGCUCUGCCUCCUGCAGAGGUCAGGCCCUGAUGUGUUGGUCUUCAGGAGUUCUGCAGCAUACCCAGAGCCAUGGGCUGCCCCAGACUCAGGCCCACUUAGAUUAUUCCAAAAAGUUCCCAAAGUUUUUAUGUGAAUAGCGCUUUUGGAGAAAAUCAAAGGUGAUAAUGGUAAAAUCCACAAAUUCUAAACCAGCAAUACCAAGCUGUUCAGUGACCUUCAUGGUUGCAUUAUUGCACACUGUGCUCAUACACAUUGCACUGUGGCCUGAACAUCUUGUUUCCCAUAAUAAUUCAAUGCAGUGAACCAUAGACAAAGAGAAAGGAUCUUUUCCUCCCCAGCCCUUGGCAGAAUUGCUGCUCACACAUGCUGCAGGGCUAAUGAAGCUGUUCCUUCACUUCUGAGCAGGUUCUCAUUUGAUGUCAGUUCGUAAAGCUCCACAAAUGAAGUCUGCUCAUACCUGGAGCCCAUUCCCCUGCACUGAAGUAUUAGGUUACAGUUUAUUAGGCAGAAUGGAUAUUAUGUGCAUUGUUUUUCAUUUUAUAUGGUUUUUCAUUUUAGAUUUAUCCAGAGAAGCUGUGGAUGCCCCAUCCCUGGAGGUGCUCAAGGCCAGGUUCAUGGGGCCCUGGGCAGCCUGAGCUGUUGGGGGGGGCAGCCCUGCUCAUGGUAGGGGGAUGGAAUUGAAUGGGCUUUGAAGUCUCUUCCAACCCAAAUCAUUCUGUAAGAAAUAAAAAAAAAAGAAAAAAGUAAGAAUCCCAAGAGUGUUCACAAGCCAUGUAGAGCUUGGAUUGAACUGCAAGGGUGAGGCAAAGCACUGGGAUUCAGUGGCAGGAACGUGGUCUGAGAGGAAGCAGCCCUGGGUUGCCCCCUGGGUGCUGCAGGACUGAAGCCAGGGCUCUUCCCAUGCUUUCUCCUUCCUCUAGGUGUGAGGCCUUCCAAUUCCGCCUGGGAGCAGGGCCACAGUGAGCUGCAUUUACACCCACCAAUUGCAGCAGCAACCUGGCUGUGAGUGAGGGGCAUUUCCAAUGUCACGUAAAUCAUCAGAUGAAAGAGGGGAUUUAAAAACAAUUUAUUUUGUGGCUGGCACUUCAGAAUACUUUACAAGUCAUAUCAAGAGGAUUUUUAAAAAUCUUUCUUUAUGAGUUGCUUUCUUUUCCAGAAUAGUAUCCUUGGAAAUGACCCGCCGGUUAAAAACAAAGCAAUAAUAAAUCCCUGUGAAAAACAGCAGUCUGAGCUUCCAUGAAUGUCAUUACCUACAAAAGCCAUCAGAGCCUGUGCUGUAUCGGGGUGGCACUGCGGAGAAGACAGAAUGGUUGGAAAGGAGGGCUGGCAACAAUGAAGUUACACAGAGAUGCCAUCAGAUGCUGUCCAAGCUGCCAGGUAAGUAUGUUUGUCUGUGUACCAGGCUGGAACAAAUAGCCUACAGUGUGGAUUCAGGGUUUCCCCACUUUGCAAAGAUCACACCAUCGAGGAGUAGCGAGGCACAGCCACACUGUAAAAGCAAAGUCAGUGGGAAGAAAAACCUCAGAGCCCACUGUAAAGAAUCAUCGAAUAGCUUGGGUUGGAAAGGACCUCAAAGAUAAUCCAGUCCCACCCCCACCUGUGGGCAGG
ensembl:lncRNA